rnacentral:rRNA from 1 species
AAUCAACGCUGGCGGCGUGCCUAAUACAUGCAAGUCGAACGCGAAAGUCCCGCAAGGGAUGAGUAGAGUGGCAAACGGGUGAGUAACGCGUGGGUGACCUGCCUUCGAGUGGGGGAUAACGUUCCGAAAGGGACGCUAAUACCGCAUGACAUCCUGCCUUUUAAGAGGUGGAGAUCAAAGCUGGGGAUCGCAAGACCUAGCGCUUGAAGAGGGGCCCGCGUCCGAUUAGCUAGUUGGUGGGGUAACGGCUCACCAAGGCAUCGAUCGGUAGCCGGCCUGAGAGGGCGGACGGCCACACUGGGACUGAGACACGGCCCAGACUCCUACGGGAGGCAGCAGUAGGGAAUUGUUCGCAAUGGGCGCAAGCCUGACGACGCAACGCCGCGUGGAGGAUGAAGACCUUCGGUCGUAACU